AUGACUCUGAUACUAAUGGGUGUGGUGCGGCCCACCCUGACUGUCCUCCCCCCCUCCACAGAGGAGUUGCAGCAGGGCAGUGCCACACUGGUGUGUCUGGCCAGCGGGGGCUUCCCCUCAGCAUGGAGGCUGGGCUGGAAGGUGGGGGGCAGCAGCAGCUCCUCAGGGGUGUCACACAGCCUGGAGGUCCUGGGGAGGGACGGCCACUACAGCUGGAGCAGCACCCUGAGCCUCCCUGCAGACCAGUGGAGGAAGGCGGGCUCAGUGAGCUGUGAGGCCAGUCUGAAUGACCAGAGCCCUGUCACUCAAACCCUGGACCCUGACCGCUGUUCAGAGUAG